rnacentral:ncRNA from 1 species
GGAAGCCGGGUUACGGUGCCCAACUGCGCGCUAACCUAGAACCCACAAAGGGUGUUGGUCGAUUAAGACAGCAGGACGGUGGUCAUGGAAGUCGAAAUCCGCUAAGGAGUGUGUAACAACUCACCUGCCGAAUCAACUAGCCCCNNNNNNGGAUGGCGCUGAAGCGCGCGACCCUCCCCCGGCCAUCUGGGCGAGCGCCAUGCCCCGAUGAGUAGGAGGGCGCGGCGGCCGCUGCAAAACCCGGGGCGCGAGCCCGGGCGGAG